rnacentral:rRNA from 1 species
AGGUGGCCUCUACUUGUAAGCUAUCGCUUUACGAUGGGUCUGCGUCUGAUUAGCUAGUUGUGGGGUAACGGCCUACCAAGGCGACGAUCAGUAGCCGGUCUGAGAGGAUGAACGGCCACAUUGGAACUGAGACACGGUCCAGACUCCUACGGGAGGCAGCAGUGGGGAAUCUUCCGCAAUGGGCGCAAGCCUGACGGAGCAACGCCGCGUGAGUGAAGAAGGGUUUCGACUCGUAAAGCUCUGUUGUCGGGGACGAAUGUGGAGAUGGUGAAUAACCAUUUCCAAUGACGGUACCUGACGAGGAAGCCACGGCUAACUACGUGCCAGCAGCCGCGGUAAUACGUAGGUGGCGAGCGUUGUCCGGAAUUAUUGGGCGUAAAGGGAGCGCAGGCGGGAAGGUAAGUCUAUCUUAAAAGUGCGGGGCCCAACCCCGUGAGGGGAUGGAAACUAUCUUUCUUGAGUGCAGGAGAGGAAAGCGGAAUUCCUAGUGUAGCGGUGAAAUGCGUAGAUAUUAGGAGGAACACCAGUGGCGAAGGCGGCUUUCUGGACUGUAACUGACGCUGAGGCUCGAAAGCGUGGGGAGCGAACAGGAUUAGAUACCCUGGUAGUCCACGCCGUAAACGAUGAAUGCUAGGUGUAGGAGGUAUCGACCCCUCCUGUGCCGGAGUUAACGCAAUAAG